rnacentral:rRNA from 1 species
GACGAACGCUGGCGGCGUGCCUAAUACAUGCAAGUCGAACGCAGUGGGGACGGGUGAGUAACACGUGGGUAACCUCCCAUCAGAGGGGAUAACACUUGGAAACAGGUGCUAAACCGAUACUGAUGGAUGGACCCGCGGUGCAUUAGCUAGUUGGUGAGGUAACGGAUCACCAAGUCCACGAUGCAUAGCCGACCGGAGAGGGUGAUCGGCCACAAUGGGAAUGAGACAAGGGCCAGACUACUACGGGAGGCAGAAGUAGGGAAUCUGCGGCAAUGGGGGGAACCCUGACCGAGCAACGCAGCGUGAGGGAAGAAGGUUUUCGGAUAGUAAAGCUAUGUUGUUAAGGAAGCGGUACUUAACCAGAAAGGGACGGCUAACUACGUGCCAGCAGCCGCGGUAAUAC